rnacentral:rRNA from 1 species
UACGGAGGAUCCAAGCGUUAUCCGGAUUUAUUGGGUUUAAAGGGUGCGUAGGUGGCUUUUUAUGUCAGGGGUGAAAGACGGUAGCUUAACUAUCGCAGUGCCUUUGAUACUGAAGAGCUUGAAUACACUAGAGGUAGGCGGAAUGUGACAAGUAGCGGUGAAAUGCAUAGAUAUGUCACAGAACACCAAUUGCGAAGGCAGCUUACUAUGGUGCAAUUGACACUGAGGCACGAAAGCGUGGGGAUCAAACAGG